GCCUCGGGGUUCUGCGGGGCAGCGGGGAGAUGCUCGCGUAACCACUUGGAUCUCCUGCCUCAGAUGGAAGCAAGCUUCCUUGUGAUGUUCCAGAAGGGAGUGUACCAGCAGAAAAUACCGUGACACUUCCUAUACCACGAGCUGGAGGGUGGACCAGAAUUUAUUCCCCACCUCUCAGGACGUAGCCUGUAUUUCCAACAGGGCCAGCCAUGAUGCUGCUUCGCGUCUUCCUGACCUGGACUGGCCAUGUUCUUGCCAGAGAAAGAAAUGGAGUCGUUUUACUCCUCAUCUCCGAAGUUAUGUACACCAGCAUCACCCGCUACAGAAAUUACAUGGCGACGAGCUCAAAGGGUAAUUUAUGGAGCAUGGACAGUCCUCCCUGAUGAAGGCGCAAGGACCCAGCACAGAAGCAACUGGACACUAACCUUCCCUUGCGAGCCACCAGGCCAGCCUCAAGUUCUAGUUGCCAGCCAUGACACGGAUUUUCCUCCAAGACUUCAAGCGCAUGUGGCUUACAUCAACGUGGUCUCGCACCCACGCUCCACGGAGACCACUUGCCUCGCACAUUCUCCUACUUACACAUGUUCACUGAACGUAACCCCAAGUGAAUUAUUUAAGAAGUCUUAAUGUGCUUCAGACUUCCCAAAUAGAAUUUCGACCUUAAAUUAAAUGCGUACUCCCGUGGGAAACCGGGAGGAGGAACUCAGCCCACGGCAUCAGGUGAACAGGCGGCGGCCCCAGAAGAGAAUUUCAGUUUACCUCUGGAAGGAUCUCAUCUGCUGGCCCAGGCUCCGUGUUGAACGGAACAGGAUUCGACUGCAAAACUGCAUUUGUUAUAGCGGAGCCGACUGCACGCAAGAGAUUUAUCUUUAUAUAUUUAUAUAUUUAUAAAGAUAAUCUUGCUUUUUGGUUUGUCCCUCAAUGGCCUUCCAAGGAAGCACCCGAGCCACCAGAGCUGGGUCACAGCAUAGACGAGAACACACAGCCCUGUUCCUUAGUUUUGAGGUUUGGGUUUCUUUUUUUAAAUAAAUCCGAAUAUUCUUUGUCCCUUGUGUUCAGUUGCCAAUAACUGUACAUAUGAGGUGUUAAAUUUGAUAUAGGGAUUAGAGUGGAGAAAAGCCACAUGCAUUUUACUUAACACAGUUUUGGGUUUUUUGUUUGUUUGUUCCUUUACAGUAAGCAUUGCCCACUGGGAACAAUGCAGCAGAACAAGGACAGGGAAAUUCUCUCAACAUGCACUAGUGAUAAUGAAAGCAAACCACUUACAAGGGAGCACAGACAAGGAGUUUGCUGCAGACCAGGGACUGGAGCUGAAAACAAAUUUCUUAUUCAGGGAAAUGUGAAUGAGUAAGAACCUACAGUGAGGUUUUUUUUUUUUACUUUGCAUAAAAAUUAAAUUAAAUCUGAACUCUAAAGCAUGCAUAUGGUAAAGAGCUAAGUUAUUCAAAGACACAUCACACAUAGCACGUUGAUAAUACCAAGUAGCAUAUGAACGACACGACUGACUUUGUAAGACUUUGCCAUGAACUUGAGUGUUACCUAAAGAGGGAGAGGCCUUGUUAGAUGAACCCGCCAUUACCAAAUUGUGUGAAUACGUGCUCUUGAAAGUUAAUCCUGCAGCAAUCCACCUCACAGAUGUUCUUUCUUUCCCAGGGAUAGCAGCACCUCAAGAAUGCUAUUCUUCCAAAUGAUAAAUUGCAUUAUUCUCAAGAAACUGUCUGCAUGCAAAACAAGAAAUCUGUCAUCAUCCUGGAAUUAUAUUUAAACAGGGAAUAUUCGAGGAAGAUUUUUACUCAUGAAGUUGUCAGAGCAUGAUUCCAAUAAAAGCAGCACCACGCGUUACCAGGCAUGCAAAGCUUCUGCCUGAAAGUAUUUACUUUGUUCUUUAAAAGUAUGUAGUGAGUCAACAGGAAAUUAUAUAUACAUCUUCCCUCCAAUUAGAAAACUGCAAAUUGAGUACUAAAUAUGUCAUGCUAGCACUCAAUUUUUUAUUGCUAUCAUAUCUGGCUCGACAGUGAUAUGCUGGGUAAGAUCCAAAGGAGACACCAAGUAACAAAAUUCUACUCCUGUGUCGAGUUAUAUAAUGGAUUUCAUGGUUACUGAUUAUAUUAAAUAUGAUCCCCUAGCCUAAGAUUCUAAACCUGCACUGUCUAAUCAUACAACAACCACUAGCCACGUGUGGCCACUGAGCCCUUGAAAUAUGGUCACUCCAGACUGAGAUGUGUUGUAAGUGCAAACUCCACACUGGAGUUUGAAGAUUUAAUA